CAGCCGCCGCGGGAAUACGUAGGUGGCAAACGUUGUCCGGAAUUAUUGGGCGUAGAGGGCUCGCAGGCGGUUUCUUAAGUCUGAUGUGAAAGCCCCCGGCUCAACCGGGGAGGGUCAUUGGAAACUGGGAAACUUGAGUGCAGAAGAGGAGAGUGGAAUUCCACGUGUAGCGGUGAAAUGCGUAGAGAUGUGGAGGAACACCAGUGGCGAAGGCGACUCUCUGGUCUGUAACUGACGCUGAGGAGCGAAAGCGUGGGGAGCGAACAGGAUUAGAUACCCGGGUAGUCCCUGUCUCUUAUAC
rnacentral:rRNA from 1 species